UACGGAGGGGGCUAGCGUUGUUCGGAAUUACUGGGCGUAAAGGGCGCGUAGGUGGCCACUUCAAGCGUGCGGUGAAAGUCGGGGGCUCAACCCCUGAUCGGCCGUGCGAACUGGGGGGCUGGAGCACUGUAGAGGCAGGCGGAAUUCCGGGUGUAGCGGUGGAAUGCGUAGAGAUCCGGAAGAACACCGGUGGCGAAGGCGGCCUGCUGGGCAGUUUUGCUGACACUGAGGCGCGACAGCGUGGGGAGCAAACAGG
rnacentral:rRNA from 1 species